rnacentral:rRNA from 1 species
CCUACGGGUGGCAGCAGUGGGGAAUAUUGGGCAAUGGGCGCAAGCCUGACCCAGCAACGCCGCGUGAAGGAAGAAGGAUUUCGGGUUGUAAACUUCUUUUGGCAGGGAAGAGAAGAAGGCGACAUGUGACGAAUAAGCCACGGCUAACUACGGGCCAGCAGCCGCGGUAAUACGUAGGUGGCAAGCGUUGUCCGGAUUUACUGGGUGUAAAGGGCGUGUAGCCGGGUUGACAAGUCAGAUGUGAAAUCCUGCGGCUUAACCGCAGAACUGCAAUUGACACUGUUGGUCUUGAGUACUGGAGAGGCAGACGGAAUUCCUAGUGUAGCGGUGAAAUGCGUAGAUAUUAGGAGGAACACCAGUGGCGAAGGCGGUCUGCUGGACUGCAACUGACGGUGAGGCGCGAAAGCGUGGGGAGCAAACAGGAUUAGAUACCCGUGUAGUC